rnacentral:rRNA from 1 species
CACAUGCAAGUCGAGGGGAAACGACAUCGAAAGCUUGCUUUUGAUGGGUGUCGACCGGCGCACGGGUGAGUAACGCGUAUCCAACCUGCCCACCACAUGGGGAUAACCUUGCGAAAGUAAGACUAAUACCCAAUGAUAUCUCUAGAAGACAUCUGAAAGAGAUUAAAGAUUUAUCGGUGAUGGAUGGGGAUGCGUCUGAUUAGCUUGUUGGCGGGGUAACGGCCCACCAAGGCGACGAUCAGUAGGGGUUCUGAGAGGAAGGUCCCCCACAUUGGAACUGAGACACGGUCCAAACUCCUACGGGAGGCAGCAGUGAGGAGUAUUGGUCAAUGGACGAGAGUCUGAACCAGCCAAGUAGCGUACAGGAUGACGGCCCUAUGGGUUGUAAACUGCUUUUAUAAGGGAAUAAAGUGAGUCUCGUGAGACUUUUUGCAUGUACCUUAUGAAUAAGGACCGGCUAAUUCCGUGCCAGCAGCCGCGGUAAUACGGAAGGUCCGGGCGUUAUCCGGAUUUAUUGGGUUUAAAGGGAGCGUAGGCCGGAGAUUAAGCGUGUUGUGAAAUGUAGACGCUCAACGUCUGCACUGCAGCGCGAACUGGUUUCCUUGAGUACGCACAAAGUGGGCGGAAUUCGUGGUGUAGCGGUGAAAUGCUUAGAUAUCACGAAGAACUCCGAUUGCGAAGGCAGCUCACUGGAGCGCAACUGACGCUGAAGCUCGAAAGUGCGGGUAUCGAACAGGAUUAGAUACCCUGGUAGUCCGCACGGUAAACGAUGGAUGCCCGCUGUUGGUCUGAAUAGGUCAGCGGCCAAGCGAAAGCAUUAAGCAUCCCACCUGGGGAGUACGCCGGCAACGGUGAAACUCAAAGGAAUUGACGGGGGCCCGCACAAGCGGAGGAACAUGUGG